rnacentral:rRNA from 1 species
GCUAAUACCGGAUAACAACAGAUGAUGCCUAUCAACUGUUUAAAAGAUGGUUCUGCUAUCACUCUUGGAUGGACCUGCGGUGCAUUAGCUAGUUGGUAGGGUAACGGCCUACCAAGGCGAUGAUGCAUAGCCGAGUUGAGAGACUGAUCGGCCACAUUGGGACUGAGACACGGCCCAAACUCCUACGGGAGGCAGCAGGC